rnacentral:lncRNA from 13 species
UCUGAGUGGAAGAUGAUUUAUGUUUGUUUGUUUGUUUAUCUGUACUUUGGAAAUCCGGCUGAUGAGCCUGGAGCUAUCUACACUGAGCAUUGAUCUGUGCAUCAGCAAGUCUAGAGCUUAAGAGAGAAAUCCAAACUGGAGCACAGGCUUCUACAACGUGAUCAUCAGGCCCUGUAUGAAGGCCACCAUGCAGUGCGCCCUGAGAACAUGGUGUGAACAACAACAACAAAGUGUUCUUGAUCUCAGAGAGUUGAGGUCUGCUACCAUGGAAAAGAAAAUAGGAGAAUACGUAAGUGAAGUCAUGAUUAUCAGCCCAUUCUUGAUCCUAUCUCCAACACAAUCUCCAUCCCCUGAGUGAGGUUGAAUGAUACUUCUUUUGUCUUUUAUCACUGUAGAGGAGCAGGAAGCAAAGAUUUUGAAAUUUAUCCAUUAAGAAUAAUCAUGAGAGAUUAAAUCCAGCUGCUCCAAAACACAGUCUCAAGAUUCAAAUGUUGCAAAGAAAAAAAAAGAGAUGAUGUUUCAGACUGCAGACCACAUCUAAGAAGACAAAUUCAUCAGGAAAACCUCAUGAAUCCCAUUUUAAUAAAGACACUUCACUUUUAGAGCA